rnacentral:rRNA from 1 species
UACGGAGGGGGCUAGCGUUGUUCGGAAUUACUGCGCGUAAAGCGCACGUAGGCGGCUUUGUAAGUUAGAGGUGAAAGCCCAGGGCUCAACCCUGGAAUUGCCUUUAAGACUGCAUCGCUUGAACAUCGGAGAGGUAAGUGGAAUUCCGAGUGUAGAGGUGAAAUUCGUAGAUAUUCGGAAGAACACCAGUGGCGAAGGCGACUUACUGGACGAUUGUUGACGCUGAGGUGCGAAAGCGUGGGGAGCAAACAGG